CGUCCGGUGAACAGGUCAGGGACAGGGUAGCACGUCUGGUGAACAGGUCUGGGACAGGUAGCACGUCCGGUGAACAGGUCAGGGACAAGGUAGCACGUCCGGUGAACAGGUCAGGGACAGGUAGCACGUCCGGUGAACAGGUCUGGGACAGGUAGCACGUCCGGUGAACAGGUCAGGGACAGGUAGCACGUCCGGUGAACAGGUCAGGGACAGGUA